UACGAAGGGGGCUAGCGUUGCUCGGAAUCACUGGGCGUAAAGCGCACGUAGGCGGGUCUUUAAGUCAGGGGGGAAAUCCUGGAGCUCAACUCCAGAACUGCCUUUGAUACUGAAGAUCUCGAGUCCGGAAGAGGUGAGUGGAACUCCGAGUGUAGAGGUGAAAUUCGUAGAUAUUCGGAAGAACACCAGUGGCGAAGGCGGCUCACUGGUCCGGUACUGACGCUGAGGUGCGAAAGCGUGGGGAGCAAACAGG
rnacentral:rRNA from 1 species